rnacentral:rRNA from 1 species
GACAGCCAGGAUGUUGGCUUAGAAGCAGCCAUCAUUUAAAGAAAGCGUAAUAGCUCACUGGUCGAGUCGGCCUGCGCGGAAGAUGUAACGGGGCUAAACCAUGCACCGAAGCUGCGGCAGCGACACUAUGUGUUGUUGGGUAGGGGAGCGUUCUGUAAGCCUGUGAAGGUGGCCUGUGAGGGUUGCUGGAGGUAUCAGAAGUGCGAAUGCUGACAUAAGUAACGAUAAAGCGGGUGAAAAGCCCGCUCGCCGGAAG